ACGAAGGAGAAGGAGGAGAAGAAGCGUCGAGAUUUGUUCCACGAUCUGAGACCCUACGAUCUCCGUCGAGAUGGUGUGAAAUGUGUUCGAAUCCGAGUGGGGACAGUGACAUAUAUUGUGUUGGGACGUGUGGAACAUGGAAGGGAAGAAGAAAGCAGAGGAUUUUGGUUCGGUUGUCUGCGAUUCCCGUCCUAUCAGCGGUUCUUUUUUCAAUUAUCUGCACUCUCGGGCACGCAUUCACGCGCACUCCCUCUCGUUCGCACAUAUAAGCCCCCUGCUCCUUCCUCCAAAGGUGAAAGGUACUUGCUCUACGGCACGGCCGUGAACAGAGAAAGGAAAGGAAAGGAAAGGAAGAAGAGAAGCAGGGUAAUCGAUAGAGAGAAGGAGAUGCAGAGGCGCAGGUUGAGACCGAGCAGCGUGGCCGUCCUGCGGUCGGUGCUGAUAUGCGCCAUCGCCACCGUCUCCCUGGUGGCGCUGCUGGACGUGCACGUUUCCCCCUCCUCCUCCUCGCCCUUCCGCGCGGCUUACACGCUCGCCAAGAGACAUGAGAUUGGGUAUGGAAGUCGGCGUUCUGAGCUCGCGUGGAUGCAAGAAAUGGCUCCUCCUCAACUCUCCAAGGCGCCCACCGCAUUCCAUCAGUGGGAUGAUACCAACCAGGAGGCGUCGCAGGAAUCGGAGAAGCUGUGGAAGCCUCCAUCAAAUCAUGGUGGUUUUGUGCCUUGCGUUAAACCCACCUCAUCGUACUCACCUCCUGGAGAGUCACGAGGAUACUUGUUAGUGAGCACCAAUGGUGGGCUGAACCAGAUGAGAGCAGGAAUAUCUGACAUGGUAGCCAUCGCACGGAUUAUAAAUGCCACUCUUGUGAUUCCAAUACUUGAUAAGAGCUCAUUUUGGCAAGAUUCAAGCAAUUUUUCAGAUGUCUUUGAUGAAGAUUAUUUCAUACAUUCUUUGGCAAAUGAUGUGAAAAUCAUGAAGAAACUACCAAAGGAGUUUGCUGCAGCUACCAAAUCUGUGAAAUAUUUCAAAAGCUGGUCCGGGAUAGAAUAUUACCGUGACAAGAUAUCUCAAUUAUGGGAUUAUCACAAGGUCAUUCGUGCCGCGAAAUCAGAUUCUCGUCUUGCUAACAACAAUUUGCCCCCCGACAUACAAAAGCUUCGUUGCCGGGCUUUCUAUCAGGCUCUUCGUUUUGCCCCUGGCAUCGAAGGACUAGGAAAAUUAUUGGUUGAGAGAAUGAGAUCAUAUGGUCCAUUUAUUGCUCUACACUUGCGGUAUGAGAAGGACAUGCUUGCUUUUAGUGGUUGCACAUAUGGUCUGAGUGCUUCUGAAGCUGAUGAGCUGACAACAAUUAGAGAAAUUAUACCAUAUUGGAAGGUGAAAGAUAUUGACCCCAUGCAACAGAGAUCAAAGGGCUAUUGUCCCCUUACACCAAAAGAGGUUGGAAUUUUCCUCUCUGCUUUAGGAUAUCCAUCAAAUACCCCAAUAUACAUUGCAGCAGGAGACAUUUACGGAGGUGAUUCUCAUAUGGUUGAUCUGGAAUCCCAUUUCCCCAUACUAAUGAGCAAGCUUCCUAGGAAAAGUUGGCAUCAGCAGAUGAGCUGGAACCAUUCAGACCGUAUGCAGCUCAAAUGGCGGCGUUGGAUUACAUCGUCUCUGUGGAGAGUGAUGUUUUCGUUUCAUCGUACUUGGGAAACAUGGCGAGGGCAGUCGAGGGCCACCGCCGCUUCUUGGGACACAGAAGAACCAUCACUCCUGAUAGGUAAAGCUGCUAACUUACAAGUGCCCCUGCAGGAAGGCACUGGUUCAUUUGUUUGAUAAAAUCGAGCGGGGAUCGAUUAAAGAAGGAAAAAAGCUAUCAGAUAUGACAUCUGAAAUCCAUAAAAGACGACAAGGGUCGCCUCGUAAGAGAAAAGGUCCCAUCUCCGGAACCAGAGGAAAAGAGAGGUUUCGAUCCGAGGAAGCGUUCUACGAGAACCCUCUUCCCGAUUGUUUAUGCCGGUCGGAAUCAGAUGUUACGAGUUCUCAGAGACCGUGAGAGAUUUAGAUUCGUAGACGUUAACCAACUGAAGAGUUUGGAGCUGGUUGCACUGUAGCAGAUUGAAGCUGCAGAUUACAGAGACGCAAUCCGAGUCCCGUAGCUCCAAAGCAAAAGCAGGUAGAAGGCUGAAGGAUGGGAGUGCCAUACAAAAGCUUGCAGCUUGGCUUCACUCAGAUACUGAUCGCCACAAAAUAGGAAUAGCUUCUCUUUUCUCAGAAAAAGGCAAUUUUUUUUUUGACUGGAAAAUAAUCACCAUGUGUGUCUUCGUGAGCUGACAACUAAAUGGAAUCUAUAUAUAUAUUUGUAUGGCUUCUAUUCCGGCGGCUUUAUCGCAUCCGCGUGUGGCCCUGGCAGGUGUGGGCCCCAUUGAAACUUUGUAACUUCGUGUGUAUAUAUAUAUAUGUUUGCUGUC